UACAUCUCUCCUUUCGCUCAAACGGGGCAAUCGGCGUGAGGACGGGCUCGGGAAUGUAAUGCCCUUCCCCCCCUGGUCGGAAGUGACGUGCGGCGAGCGCUGGGAAGGCGGAAAUCGCGUGUAGAGCGUGGCGGCCGUGAUGAAGGUGCCACGAAGAUACACAAUGUCAUCUGACUCGGAGGAAGAAAAUGGAGUCAGGCAUGAGAAGGAUGACAGUGAUGGGGGCAACUAUGAUGGCAGAUCUAGAUCCCACUCUAGGUCAGCAUCUCCAGGAGAUCAAAGGUCAAAUCGGCAAAAUAUGUCCGACAGAGAGGACUCAGUGGAGGGAAGGGAGAAUGGGAUGAGAGGGGAGUCAGAUACAGAAGAAAACAGAGGCCAAAAAGAGUCCAGUCAUUCGAGGACUCCUGAGGAUAAGGAAAUGAUUGAGUGGAGUGGUGAGGCAGGAGAAAAGAGAUGCUCGCGCAGCAGGAGUGAUGAAGCUGAGGAUAAAGUGGCAUCUCGUAGUCGUAGUAAGAGUAAGCAGAGGGAAGUAGACACCAGUAAAGAAAGGAAAUCUAGUUCGUCGUCUUCUAAAAAGAAAUCUCGAUCCAGAAGAUCUCGCUCACGGUCAAGGAGCAAGAAGCGAUCUCACUCUCGAAGUAGAAGAUCUCGCUCUAGAAGUCGGAAGAAAUCCAGAUCGAGGUCCCGAUCCCGUGGAUCAAGACGACGAUCACGAUCUCGAUCAAGAAGGCGUUCAAGAUCUCGAUCUAGAAGUGGAACUCCGGUGGAUGGAGCUCGUCUUCAUGUAGCUGAGCUAGAUGUUGAUACACGCAAGAGGGACUUAGAGCGAGUGUUUGAGAAAUAUGGCAGACUGCGGGAGAUUUGGAUGGCUCGGAAUCCACCUUGCUUUGCGUUUGUGGUUUAUGCACAUCAGAAGGAUGCAGAUAGAGCACUUAAGGAAACUGAUGGAAUAAUGAUUGGCCACUGCCGCAUCAAGGUCACUCAAGCAAGGCCUCGUGUUCGUGGUGGACGCAUGAGAGGAGCUUAUGACCCAAAUCUGCGGUGUUACCAGUGUGGUGAACUAGGUCACUUUUCUAGAAAUUGCACAGACACCAAGUUUGGCUAUAAGCGACCCCCAACUCCACCAGGGAUGUGUUAUGGUUUGGUAUUGUGGUCAUGUGGUUGGGUUAUUGGUGCGGUGGGGAGAGGCGCCUCCAGAGUGCCUUGAGAAGCGUCAUGAUGGCACAGCUGCGGUGGCACGGCCGCGCUCACUUCAAACGAAAGUAUGUUUGGGAGCUGCCAGAUCUCGGAGACCUCCUCCUUUGUGGUUGUUGAUGAGAGUGUAGGAUGCAGAGUGUCCACGAGAAGAUAUUGCUUGUGAAAUUUAGUUCUGUUUGGGCCUGAGUUUCUGGAGG
rnacentral:misc_RNA from 1 species